rnacentral:rRNA from 1 species
UACGUAGGGGGCUAGCGUUGUCCGGAAUCAUUGGGCGUAAAGCGCGUGUAGGCGGUCCGGUAAGUCCGCUGUGAAAGUCGAGGGCUCAACCCUCGAAUGCCGGUGGAUACUGUCGGACUUGAGUACGGGAGAGGCGAGUGGAAUUCCUGGUGUAGCGGUGAAAUGCGCAGAUAUCAGGAGGAACACCAAUGGCGAAGGCAGCUCGCUGGGACGUGACUGACGCUGAGACGCGAAAGCGUGGGGAGCAAACAGG